CAGCCACAUCACGUUAAAACACCGGCUCCUGUACAAUCACUGAAGUUAAGCAACAUUGAUUCUGGUCAGUAUCUAAAUGGGUGACUACUUGGGAAUACCAGGUGCUGUAA